CGGGGCGGCAAAACGUCCGCCCGGGCCCGAGGCGGGCGGAGGCAGCUGUGGUUACGUGCGGGGGGCCGGUGACGCAGUCGCGGGGCGCUAGGACGCGACUUGCGGAGCCGGCCGGCGGGGGCAGGCCCCAGGCUCGGGCGCGGCGGCGGGACAGCACCUACCUUCCCGGCUUCGGGUCCGGGAGUGCGGGGCGCGGAGCCGCCGGAGCGCUGCCUCCCUCCUUCCUCCUCCCCUCGCCCCCGCCCCGCGGCGCGACACACAAUACUCGCCGGAAGCGGAAGCCGCGCCGAGGCUCGUGUCAGUGGAAGCUGGGGUGUCGGCAGGCGGCAGCGGCCGGGUCUAGCGGUGGCUGCGGAAGGAGGAGGUGGAGGAGGGCUGGCGAUGAGAACCAGCAGGAGGAAUCAAGGACAAGAAGGGACCCAGAGGGGCAGGUGGCUGAGAUGCUGGCGUCCAGGUGACCCGAGGAAUCCUCUGGAGAUAGAGGCCCGCGCAUGCGCGUGCUCGAGCGCUGAAGCCCAUGGCCCGCAGGGCGCUGGACGGGCGCCCCGGCCGGCGAGGCUGUCCCGUCCAGGCUCCAGGCCCCGGCUCUGGCCAGGCGCCGCCGCUCCCCAGUGCAGCUGAAAGUCGACGAAGAGGGCGGGGCGAGGGCGGCUUGUGGACUUCCACACUUUUCCUCUCUUCGGGCCAGUCCGGGGAGAGGGUGGCUAGCUGUGGCGGCGGCCAAUUACGUGGCGGACCUGCGGGGCUCAGCUGGCACGUCACUUCCGACUGGUGGAGUUUUAGCCUUUUAACAUUCAAGGAUUAGAGCUCCCUCUUUGCCCACUAGCAGGGCAAUAGCUGGUGCUGAAAACAGUGGCUGCUUGGCAAGCCUGGAUCUCCAAGUGACUCCAGGUGACCCCCUCAGCAACUCCUGAUGAACAGGACUGAAACCAAUAAUAAGGCAAGUCGACCAAAGGUUCUGUGGUGUAGACAAGACAACAAAAGGACAGACUACCUGUGGAACCUAGCAUUGUUCUUCUGCAGCACUACGUAACAUUUGUGCUCCGUAAGAUCUUUGCAAACCACACACAAGAAUUGCUGGUCAUCCUGCCAAUAGAUGCUGCUCACAGAACCAAAUUUCCUGUGCUGGAUUGUCACUCAUGGGCUUGAGAGUAGGAGACUGGAGACCAAGGUGGCUAGAAUCCAGUUGGGCCUGACGUCUCCCUGUUGAAAGAGCUCCUUGUGGAAUGGACAGCACAUGGCUCCCGUGGUGGAUCUGAUAGUGGUACAGCACCAAGUGAUGCAGGCCUGCCUGGGCCACGGCCACAGAAGAUGCUCCCAGGGUCCCCCGUGUACUCCAGACACACUGCAGGCCACCUCUCCCAGCAGGUUCCUAGUCAUGGGCCCCAUCAUCAUGACUUCUGUCCAAAGUACUGUGUGUAGAAAUGUGAUUGAGAUUCAAGUCAGGGCCUCUGCCCUUUUCCCUCCAGAAACAAAACCAAGAUAAUUUAUCCUGAACACACACGGUGAAAAAAGGAAGGAAGGGAGCGGGGAGAAAAAGUCCAGGUCUUACCUGGGAUUCUCUGUCUCCUGCAACAUGAAGGGUUUAGCCUGGGAGGAGGUGGUGAGAACUCUGGGAGAGAAAAAAGAAGGAAAGAAUAGUUUUACCCAUGCUGAAGUUAAACCUUUACCUAGAGAAGCAAAACAAACAAACAAACAAACACUGUUCCAUUUUGUGCCUCCCUUCCUAGAGUUUUGGCCAAAGGUUUAACUAAGUAAUUGGUUUUACCAGGGCACUCACUCCUCUUAUCCCGAGUCUGUUUGCCUCCCUCCCCAUCAUCCUCCUCACCUCUUUCAGGCAGGGUGGGGACAGCAGCAGGAGGAGAUUCUGGGAGCUUGGCAACUCCUGUAAGGACCGCAGGACAGCCCCUCUGUGGGGAUGCAUGGUGCUCCAUCUGCCGUCCUGAGAAGAAGAAUGCACUGCCUUCACUUUACUGUGUUAGAGUCCAUCCAGACGGUUCUAUCCAAAGAAUAGUUUCUUUUUUCCCCAACAGGCAAUCAGGAAAUGAUUCCUUUCCCGACUACUUUUGUCUAGUGCCUGGGAAUCUUGAGUCAAUCCCUCAGUAAGUCAGUGACUAAGGAAAUCUCCCCUCUCUGAGCCUCCCAGUUCAUGUUGCUUAGGGAACCUGAUAUUUUCAUGAAAUCUGCCUACACAUGGGCAGCCCAACAGCAGAGCUAAUGGUGGUGACCAAAGUGAACAAAGAAGUACAGUUGUGCCAGCUUCCUAGUUGCCCGUGUGGACAAGUCAGCAGGAUCAGGACACGAGGAAGAGUAAAUGUGAGACAGUCAUGUGACUUCUGCGAUAAUAUUCUAGAUUUUUAAACCCUGAAAUUUUGCUAAAAUUUUGGUGAAACCCUGAACUUUCUUCAUUGCAUAUACUGGCCCUAUCUGUACCAUCAUACAGCUAUCUCACAUUAAAGCUAUUUUUCUUCAGCACUGAUGAGUAAGGUUGGUAUGUUUGAGUUCCUCAGAUCAACAAAAACCCAUUUUCCUGUAAGUCUUAUGUUUAGUAUUUAAGGAACUAAAACUUAAAUACAUUGUGUGAAAUGGUUGACACUUCACUGAUAAUGAUUUAUUGCUUGGAUUAAUAAAUUUUCCAAAAGUUGUCUUAUUAUGUAGAAUAUGGUUUGCAACCAACAGAACCAUUAAUCUAUACUGUGAUAAAAUGCACUAUGUAUAAUUGUUUAAAAGCUUCUACUUAAUGAUGUAACAUGCUGUAUUUAAUUACACAUUUGGCUAAACUGUAUACUAACAUCUGAUGGCAUUUUUCCAGUGUGUUGCUUUUUUCAAAUACUUUAUUGUAGAAAGCUGUUCUUAAUAUUUUUCAAGUUUUUCUCUUUGAAUUUUGCUAAUGUUUUCCUUGAAUUAUGAGCACUGACAGAAUGUGCUUAGCACUUUUGGCUAUUCACACAGCUUUUGAGCAUGAUUUGCAUCCAGUAUUGACAUUGCUAGCAAUAAUAAGCCAUCUGUGAGUUUUGUCAGAAGUUAUUGGGGAUUUUUUAAAUUUUAGAAAUGCAAAUUAAUUGUUUCCUUGAACUAACUUAUGCAGUUGCAAAGGCAUUUCCAGUUGUUAUGCUUUUUGUACAAUAUCAGGUGUUCCAGAUUAUGAUUCAUUAUUAAUGUCAUUGCUUCCUUGUUCCCUCUGAGAUCCAGAAGAUUCAUGUUUACAAUAUUCAGAAACAAAAAGGUAUCCAAAGCUUGUCACUUUAUUAUUACUGUUCCUAAUAUUCUGUUUAAGUUUUUGAAUUCAUAGAUAUCAAAACACUGCACAAUUAUGAUUUUCACAGGAAUAACAACACACCAACAAUAAGAACAAAAGAAAAGCAAAUAGGCUAUCUAAAUUUUUGACUAUUAGGAUAAUGAUAAAUUGACAGUUUUUCUAAAUCUCACAGUAAAGAAUGUGCAGCAACCCAGCAACACUGCUACCUGUGACCUCAGGCUGCAGCGUCAGCUCUUCCCUGGAUCUCCAGCCUGCCAGUCUAACCUGAAAAUUAUGUACUUGCCAGCCCCUACAGUCAUGUGAGUGAACUGGCCCAGACUGGUCACCAGGUCAGUUUCUGUGUGACAUUAAUUCAUUCCAUGUUCAGCAGUCUUUUUGGAGCCGAGAUGUACCUAUCAUCUGCCUUUUGGGUGCUCAGGGUGGAGAACCAGAAAAGUAUAAUCUAGUGUGUAUCCUCAAAGAGCUAACAAUAUGGGGUGGUACCCAUAGGUCUGGGAACACUUUACUGACUCUGUGAGGCAUACCAAGAGACGUCAGAGACCAGUCCCUCCUCAAAUGCCAAAUGAAAUGCAGAGAAAUAGUUUGCUGAAGUUCAUAGGCCAGAUAUCCCAGUGGUCAGGGAGUUUCAUGAAUGAGAUGGAACUUUGCAUGGAACCUGAGGGAUGUGUACCAUUUGAGUGGAUGAAGAAAAUGAAAGAAAGACAUUCCAAGCAGCUAGAAGUUAGGAAGCAGCAGGGUGUGUGGUGGGAUUGAGCACAGUGGAUUCAGAGGAUAGACUGCAGUUCAAUAAUUUUUAGUAAAUAUCUCCCAACUGUUUGGCACUAUUGGAACAAGUUCUUGAAUGCCAAAUGAAGGUAUAAAUCAGUGAGAGGCAUAAUAAAAGCUGAGCAGUGCUUGGCUUUUUAUGAGCUGAUCCUGACAGGAGCAGCUAUUCAACAAAAUUGCCAGGCCAUUGUUACAUAGUCCCUGCCUUCUAGGGGCUCACUGCCUACUAGGAGAGAGAGUCUGAAAGUUGGUGCAGCGUGUAACUGUUGGAUCAGGAGUUUUGAGCCUGUGAACUGUGGGACCCCAGAGGAGGGUGUGACUACUCUAGGCAGAACAAUUCCACAGUUUAUAUUUAACCUUGAAAUUCAUUAGAGGAUUUUUCAGCAGAGGGUUGGUACUUAAGGUUUGCAUUCUGUAGAACCUCAAGGAAAGCUGUACUGUGCAUAAUGUACCCUCUUAUGUUAAUGUUGUGUACUGUGAUCCUGUUUCAGGGAUUUGCACUUAGAAUCUGUUACAGUGAGCAAAGAAGCAGACCUGUGGGCUCAUAGUCUUCACCCCCUGACCCAUAUAUACAAGAUGAACAGAGCUGUGGAGGUUAGACAACUUGCCCGAACAACACAGUUCAUGGUAAAGCCCAAGACUGUACCUGCCCGUCCAGUGCUUUUUCAUUGUAUCCUGGAACUAAGCAUAGACCACUUCCCAGGCACAGCUGACAGCAAGUAAAGGAGAUCAUAAUCAGGGGACCAGACAACUUUGUCUAAGUGUGAAUGUCACCUAAGGAGCAGCUGUGAGAGCAGAAGGGUGGGGUAGAGGAGCAGACACCAUGAGGGAGAGUCCUUGGGGGUGCGUCUGCCAGACUGACACUGCCUGGCCUGGGCAAUGGAGGGGCUGGCAGGAACCACAGGUACUGGUGGUGUGGCUACUACAGUUACAACUGCCUGUGCUUGGACGUGGACCCUCUGCAAUACGCAGUCUCAUUCAUUGCCCCCUACAUUCUACACCAAGUAGAAAUGGAAGGCGAAUGGGUACUUCACAGAGAGACAAGAUCUAAGUGGAGAAGGAAUGCAUCCUGUGGCUGCGGAGAUCCUUGGAGCUUGGAGGGGAAAGCUUGAGCCCCACUGGUGAUGACCUCCCACAGCUCCCCAACUCAGCCCUCCCCAAGUCCCCACUGGGGGCCAAUUCUCCAGAUUGGGGGGACUUCCCCAUAGCUCAUCCAUCAUAGGGAUGUUGGUAUCUACUGUUGGUUGGGUAGGGCCGGUGUGCUGAGGAUGGCUCCCCGACAAGCAAGAGAUGUGGAUUUGGGGAGCUUCCCAUCUUGCGUCCCUUGGGCAGUGCUACCUGCCCCAUUUUUUAAAGUGUUUGAUGAGAUGGAACUGCUUCCAGGAGACCACUGGGCUUUUUUUAUGGACUCUUAAAGGUUUCUCACACUUCUGACCUUUCCCACUGGAGAUCCGGCAGCUAUAAAUCUCAGUAACUAACAUUUAUCUAGAAACACUGACUGGUGGCUUGAUAAGAGAAAUUUUGAAGAGGUUCUUAACUCUGAAGGAGAAUGUGUGCACUGAGCUCCAAGGCCCUUUCCUUGCAUCCCUGCUAGGCUUCGGCUGCGUUCCUUCAGGCAUGCUGCCUGCCUUGCCCUGGCAGCAGCCAAAGCAUCAAGAGUUAUGGUGCCUUUGCCUUUGUCAUUGGAGUAGAUACCAUUCAACAGGCCUGUGCCUGGGCCCUUUCUGCUUUCUCUUCCACAGAGCCUCCCGGUGCACAGAUGAACUCUAGGGUUCUGGGCCCUGUGGAAAUCACACUGACCUGGUAACAUAAUGAAGAGGGACCAUAGAGCUUGUGGACACCAGGCCUGCAGGAGAUGGAACCUUCUAGAAGGGAGUGGCUGUGGUGGUGCCUUCUGGAGAAUAGCAAAGAUAAACAUGCCAUGUACAGCACGAGGGGCUCCUCACCCUGAGAAUGGGGUAAGGAGAUGGAUGUAGGCAGAGAGCCACUUCUCAGGGAAAGGAGAGGAGGGGCCCUUCUGGAGAUUUUCAGCAGAGUUAGGGCUGAGGCUGGGGGGUCAGCACCCCUCACCUAUCCUUCCUUUCUGAGAGCCAACUUCUGAGCCCACCAUCCCUAUCAGGGGAAUAUUUCCUAGCCACAAGUAACCACUGACCUGUAGUCACUGGCGUUGUGGUUGCUGGAGCUGUGAUCACUGGGGCUGUGGUUACAGGAGCUGUGUUCUGGAGGAACAAGAGUUCAGAUGCAGAAUGUUACUCUGGGUUUUCUUAUUCUCACCUAUGGGUGCCUCACCCGAAGGGGUUAAACUUCUGCCCCUUUUCCUUCUGGAGCCCCUGUGGAGACUCCUGCUAUGCAGCAAAGCCUGGAAGGGGCCCCUGGCUAUGGAGGGGAGGUUGAGCAGCCACAGGUUUGGUUGGAAGAAGGAGACCUGGACUCCCAGAUCCUCAAUACCCAGGGAAAGUCAGUUCCUGUGGCUGCCCCUGACACUAGGACCUGGAUCUGAGUGAGCAUUUUUUCUGCUCCUCCCUGAGCUUUCAGGCACAGGGCUACAUGAGGCUCAGGAACUCCCAGAGUCCUGGGGAAAUGGGUCUGUUUCUCAUGGGACAAAAAUUCUCAGGUCCUUCUCUUUCAGAUUCCUAAGUUGCUUAUAAGAGAUUAAGUGGGAAUAAGCCAGUGCUUGAAAUGGCAAAUCUGAAGGGAGUGUGUAAUGUGCAUGUGUCUCUGUGUGUACAUGUAGAUGUAUAAGGUAUACGCAUCUGUGUGUAUGUAGAUUUGUAUAUAUGUGUGUGUUUAUAAGCAUGUAUGGGUUUUUGUAUAUGUAUGUGCACAUUGAUGUAUAUAAGCAUAGCAUGUGUGGGUGUGUUUGUGUGUAUUGCUCUGUGACUUCCUCAUACUGGCACCACCCUGGCCUUUUCUUGGUUGCCCCCACCCUGUGGGUUGUAAGGAGCAGAACAGCGCUCCACCUGCAGGCAUGGAAGGGGGGUCAGGAGAAGUGUUGGGGAGAGCUGGUCCUCUUCACACUUGGAAUAAGGAAACAGGAGCUAAAUGGAUGGGUCCCUCCCUUUUACAGAAUUCUGCAUUAAUAAAAGUGUCAGUCACUUUCCUAAGGGAUUUACAGGAAUCAAAUCAUUUAAACUUCACAAGAGCCCCAUGACAUAGGGACAACUUUCAACCCCAUUUUUCAGACAAGGAAACUGAGGUCAGUAGGAGAUUCGUUGACUCUCAGUGGGCUGAUUCAUGAUUCUAAGGAAACAGUCUGACUGCUGAGCCCAAGUAACCAUGCUGUCCUGCUGACCCCCAUAUUUGUCCACUGGCCACCUAUGAGUCACCUCCGGUGGGCUCUGAGCAGCUUCCCUUUCUUCUCCAGGCACAGAGACUGAACUGGAGUCUACUGCAUUUGCCACAGUCCUAAUGAGGGCAACUACAGGGAGCUGAGGGGCUUGAAGUUGAUAGUGGCAGGAGGCAAAUCCCUAGGCAGAUAGGGGCAGGUGCCCAGUGAAAUCGCACCUUCAAGCCAAAAACAGCCUGAAGCCUGAACACUGGGCUGCUUGUUCUGUAUGAAACCCACAACUCAAAGUGAGAAUUUCUGUUCCUGUUUGCCCACUUUUUCCCAAUUGAUUCUUUCUGAAUAAUGCUUUUAAGCCAAUUGAAUGAUGCCCUAUGCAGUGCUACCUGUGCCUAUAAAAGCCCAAGAUUCAGAUACACAGAGGGACUCCCCGGCCUUCAGGUUGGGGUAAGAAACCACCCUCGCAUCCCCUCUCUGCUGAUGGCUGUUUCAUCACUCAAUAAAGCUAUUCUUUACCCUCUUCACCCUACAACUGUCAGUGUAACCUCAUUCUUCUUGGACAGGGUACAAGAACUGGGAACCCACUGUGGCCCUCUGCCCGCUGAGGGCAGCCACCCCUUAUGAUGGGAAGUGGCAACAGAGCUGACAGAGCUGUUAAUGAGUGGGACUAAAAGAGCUAAUUAGCAUGCCGUAACACCUCCUUGGGGGCUUCAGAGUUGCAGGCACCACUGCCUGGGCACCACCCUGUAUGUACCCCCUCACCUGGACGCCAGGGGGAUCCAGCUGCAAGCCCUACACAGAGCCCACUCCUGUGCCGGAGCUUGGAAUGGCUGGCUGGGUUGUGCACUUGCUUGCUCAGACACUCCCUCCCAUCAGGGGCUGAGCACACAGUUGUGGCGGCCACAGGAUCCACGCUGGAGUGCAAGCCAGGCGUGGCCCAAUGGGCUGAGUAAAUGGGGCGUCUCCUGUGGUGACCCCCACCCUAGUGAGGCCUGGGGUGGGGGGUGGGGAAUCACCAGCGUCAGAGGUCUUGGACUGGCAAGUGGCUGAGAAAAAUCCUGUGUCAAAGUGACCCAUAGUCAGCCAGGUGUGGUGGGUCAUGCCUGUAAUCCCAGGAAUUUGGGAGGCUGAGGUGGGCAGAUCAUGAGGUCAGGAGUUCAAGACCAGCCUGGCCAAAUAUGGUGAAACCCCGUCCCUACUAAAAAUACAAAAAUUAGCUGGGUGUGGUGGCAUGCACCUGUAGUUCCAGCUACUCAGGAGGCUGGGGCAGAAGAAUCGCUUGAACCUGGGAGGCAGAGAUUGCAGUGAGCUGAGAUUGUGCCACUGCACUCCAGCCUGGGCAACAGAGCGAGACUCCAUCUCAAAAAAAAAAAAAAAAAAAAAGUGACCCAUAGGCUGAUGGGGUGUUCUUGCUGCAGGUGGGGAAAGGAUGGGUUAUAUCUGCCCUGGAGUCAAUGUGUUUGCAUCACGGUAUAUGAGGUGCACUAUCCAGAAUGCUGAAGGGUAAAGACCAGCAGUGGCCAUGCAGAGUCUAUUCAUCACCUUUUAUUUCAUAGUCUGAGAACACAGCCCAUGUGGGCCUGAGAGCCUUCGGGUGUUCACUCAUCUCCUUCCAAUCCCUGCUGGCCCCUUCUCUUCUUCCAACUGAACCCCUGGUAAUACUGGCAUUACAGAAUGAACCGUGAUGGGGAGUCUAGCCAAGCCCCUGCUGCCAGUUCCUCCAUUCUUCCUGCCACUUCCUAGUGGGGUCUCCUGGAUGAUGUGAGAGGAGAGCAACUGAGAUAGUAAGAGAACUUGACGUUUACACUGGUAAAGAGAAAGCGGGUUGUCAACCUAGGAGAAAGAUAAGGGCUGCCAUAGGGAAGGGAUGAGAGAAGUUCUAACUGGCCCUAAGGGUCACUUAACUCAGUGAAAGCUGUGAAAUGUUUUUUCAGUUACUUAUUGCUAUGUAAGAAAUUACCAAUGUAGCAGCUUAUAGUAAUGUGUAUUAUCUCACAUUUUCUGUAGGUUAGAAACCCAGGCAUAGCUGUGCUGCUUCCUCUGCAUAGAGUUUCUUACAAGGCUUUAAUCAGAAUAUCUGCCAUGGCUGGUUUCUAUCUGAAGGCUGAACUGGGGAAGGAUCCACUUCCAGGCUUAGGUGAUUAUUGGAAGGAUUAAGUUCCUUGACGACUGUUAGACUGACAUCCUCAGUCUUAAUGGCCUGGUGGCCAGAGGCUGACCUCAGUUCCCUGCCAUAUGAGCCUUUCUGCUCCAUCAAAACUUGCAAGCAAAGAGGGAAGAAGACAGUCAUCUAGCAAGACAGAAGUGGGGUCAGAGACCCCAAGAAAAGCAGGUAGCCAGGCCUCUUCCCUGGACAGUGUCUUGCACAGGUUGGACCAACACUGAGGUCAUUUUAACCCAGGUCCUGAGUUGGACCAGAUGACCUGCAGACGUGUGCUUCGUUUAUGAAAGCAAAUCCCUGGAUACAAAAAUCAAACAUGUUACUGGAAAGGCUCCUCUUGAGUUCUCUGUGAACCUGGGAGGGCACGCUCUUUUAAUAUUUCUCCCUGUUACUUUUCAGACCUCCUGCAUCUCUAAAGAACCACCAUCACUAAAUCAACUUUGUAAUUCAAAAUUAUUAUUUUGAGACAGGGUCUCACUCUGUUGCCCAGGCUGUAGUGCAGUGGCACAAUCAGAGCUCACUGUAGCCACAACCUCCCUGGGCUCAGGCGACCCUCCUGCCCUCAGCCUCCCAAAUAGGUGGGACUACAGGUGCACACCACCAUGCCCGGCUAAUUUUCAUAGUUUUUUGUAGAGACAGGGUUUCAUCAUGUUGCCCUGGCUGGUCUCAAACUCUGGGUUCAAGCGAUCAGCAUCCCUUGGCCUCCUAAAGUGCUGGGAUUACAGGCAGGAGCCACAGUGCCCAUCCUCAAAGUUAUUUUUGAAUAUCUAUUAGAUGCACAAAGUUUAAAAACUUAGUGUAAUAAAAAUAUGUAUACAGUGAAAAGUAAAUUCCAUCCUCUAUCCCACCAACAGCUUUUCCAAAUUCCCUGCCUGGACACAACCACGGUUACCAGUUUCUACAGUAUUAUAGAUGGUGGUUUCCCUUUUUUCCCAGAUAUUUUACCACACUGAAUCUGCACCUUUAUGUUCACUUAAUGAUAUGUUUUGAGAUUAUUCAAUUUUUAACAUCCAAAUCUGGUUCUGUUUAAGAUACUGAUAAUGAUAGAUAAAAAGAUAGUGAUAAUGACAAGAUAUUGAUAAUUCUAUUGCCCCUGAUUUUUUAAAAUUUGCAAAUUAUAGCAAAAAUUAUCCUUAUUCCACACCACUGGUAGCACACCACUGGUGUUUUGCAUUGCUAUGCAGAAAUACCUGAGACUGGGUAAUUUAUUUUUAAAAGAUGUUUAUUUGGCUCACAGUUCUGCAGGCUGACACAACGCAUGGCACCAGCAUCUGUUUCUGUUGAGGGCCUCACAAAGCUCUCAAUCAGAGUGGAAGGCAAACAGGGAGCAGAUGUGUUACAUGGCAAUAGAGUGAGCAAAAGAGAGGAGGUGGAGCCAGGCUCUUUUUAACAGUCAAAUCUCGCAGUAACUAAUAGAGUGAGAACUCACUCAUAUUCAUGAGGAGGGCACCCAGCCAUUCAUGAGGAUACACCCUCAUGACCCAGACACUUCCCACUAGGCCCCACCUCCAACCCUGGGGAUCACACAUCAACAUGAGAUUUGGAAGGGACAAAUAUAUAAACUAUAUCAUCAAUGGAGUUAUCUGGGCACACAGCCGCCCUGAUUAAAAGCUGUAUUCUACAGCCUUUCUUGAGGCUAGUGCUAAGUUUUGGCCAAUAAGAUGAAGCAGAUGUGAAAUUGUAGGUUUUACCCUUAAAGGUCCGGGCCUUUUUCUCCUUCCCAGCUUUCCCUGCCUUCCUCAAGGACCAUAGACAUGGUCUUGGGUGCUCCAAGUCAUGCUAAUAAGGGCAAUACCCUUCUAAUUAUUAUAAUAGCAGAGAAGGAAGGCCAAAGGAGCCCUUAUGCCUAGACAACUUCAUAAUGCAGAUGCCCUAGUGGCCCUAGACUGUCUGCCUCACUGUCAUGGGAGACAUACACACUACUUUCCUAUUUGACCAUCUGGGUUGCUGCUGCACACAACUGAAUUAAUAUCCUAUCUAAUAAGAAUAGAGAGAUUAGGACUUGCGGGGAGUAAGGAGCUGUGAUAAUCUGUUCUGGAGAUGAGCAAAGACAUAUUGACAGUGUUUGCCACUCGGGGCUCCCUGGGAUAUUUAUUCUGAGUUGAAGUAAGGGAAAGCUGGGGCACAGGGGACAGCACAGCGAGAUUGGAGACUGUUAUUUUCCCCAUUUUUCUGGCCAUGGAGGAUUCCCUGGGGGAGUAUUUGUACGUACCAGGUGUUAGAUUUGUGUCUCUGUUUCUUCACUUCCUUUCCUCUUUACCACCAGAUCCCUCAUUCAUCCCAGCCGAAUCAGACUCACUGCCUCUCCUUAUCUUCCUCCUCCUGCUGCUGCUAUCUGAUGACAGAUGCAGGGCACUUCUUUAGGAGGUCAUGGACUGACACAGUUCUCCUUCAUUCUUGCUUGCAGUUCUCAAGAAUAACUUUAGAAUGUGCUGGAAAUGCAGUAAAUAUCCUGAGAUGCACAGGAAUUACCUGAAACAGCCCAGACUUUGUUCCUGUCCCUCCUAGGGAAUGCAACAUUUUGAGUUAGGGAGGAACUGCCUGGGACAGCCUGGGCUUUUGUUCCUCUCUCCUGUGGAAGCAGGAAGUCCUUCAAAGCUUUUUUCAGUGAUUCACAAUGCCCCUGAGGCACAUAACCCUGGUCAGGCUACCUUUUGGGGACCUUCAGCUGUUGUGCAAUUAGGGCACAUGCAGUUGAGACUCCAUCCAUCAUUGGCAACUUUCUUGAACCUGACGGGACUGGCUCAUAGUGCUUCUAGGCUUCUGUUGUCCCUUGCUGCCUAUCUGUGUGUAAUAAACCUGCUUCAUAUAGCUGUUUGGGUGUUUGUUCUCUCACGGUACUUGGCAAUUGGUAAAACUGCAACCCAGGGUGCAGUGGGUGGAAGCAUUCUGACUCCUAAUUUUGGUGGUUAAUAAAAUGAUAGUUUUCCGUAUCCUCUAUACAGUGUGAGUCCUUUCUUGGGAUUGGUUACUUCUGAAUCUGCAUCACAGCAAGGACUGUGGAGGCUGAGGCUGAGAGGAACAACCCCUCAGGUCAAAAAAAGGAAUACAGGCCGGGCGCGGUGGCUCAAGCCUGUAAUCCCAGCACUUUGGGAGGCCGAGACGGGCGGAUCACAAGGUCAGGAGAUCGAGACCAUCCUGGCUAACACGGCGAAACCCCGUCUCUACUAAAAACACAAAAAAUUAGCCGGGCGAGGUGGCGGCGCCUGUGGUCCCAGCUACUCGGGAGGCUGAGGCAGGAGAAUGGCGGGAACCCGGGAGGCGGAGCUUGCAGUGAGCUGAGAUCUGGCCACUGCACUCCAGCCUGGGCGACAGAGCGAGACUCCGUCUCAAAAAAAAAAAAAAAAGGAAUACAGGGCCAUUUGCCAUCAGUUUCGUGGGGUGUCUAUGCUUUCCCAGCGUGGCUUGGACAGUAACCUGACACAUUUGACCCCUGAUGUCUCCAAAAUACAUAUUCCAUCAUAAUUAGAAUACUUACCAUAUUCUAUUUAUUAUAACCAUUGCAUUAGGUCCAGCUUAUACUCCAAGGCUAAGGAUUACAUAAGGCCACAAAUACCAGGAGAUGAGGCCCUUUGGGGGCCAUCUUUGUGUCUGCCUACCACAAAAGUGACCUUGAGAACAACCUACUGCAUAGAUUCCCACAGUGCUGUAGGAAGGGAUGCAGAGAUUAUAAGGAGAUACAGACCUGAAGUCGAGGAUUUGGUGCUGAACCCUAGUAAUACAAAUCAAAAUUAUGAUCCUAUAAAGGUAGUCCACAAUUUCUGGUAAUAUUGGUAAUAAAGGUGAGGAAAUGAAAAGAAGGCCAGCUGUACUAAUAGUUAAUGUUCUCUGUGAUUUUUCUCAUGGACCAGAGAAUCUGCCAACCUCUUUUUGUUUAAUGGUUACGUGGUUUAAUUAUAAUCACACACAGGCUGAACAAACUUGUCCUUCUCCCACAGCAUAGAUCAUCCAGCUGCCCCACUCUCAGGGGAGGAGCACUUAAGUUUGCACGGCCCCACAGACCUCUGCAGCCCAAGCCACUGAGGCACUCAGAGACCUCUCCCAUGUUGAAUGCAGCUAAAUAAACUACACAGAGUUUACAUUACUACAUCCACCCAGAACAAGGCCAACACAUCCUACCCAACUGACACUUCAAACCCAUCUCCAGGUGAAACGUUUUCUGCAUGAAAGCUACUCUACACAACUGGAAGGAGAGACUGUUCCAGAAGAUGCACAGAUAACAAUGCAAAAACAUGAAAAACGAGGAAAUAUGAUAACACUAAAACAAUAAUUUUUUAGUAGCCAAUCCAAAAUAAGUGAAAAUUUAUGAAUUCUCUGAAAAUAAAUUCAAAAUAAUAAUUUUAAGGAAACUCAACUAGAUACAGGAGAAUACAAAUAGACAACUUCAACAAAACCAGAAAAACAAUUCAUGAUCUGAAUAAGAAAUCCAACAAAGGGUGGAUAUCAUAAAAGAACCAAAGAAGCCUGGGUAAUCAUGCCUGUACUCCCAACACUUUGGGAGACCAAGGUGGGAGGAUAACUAGAGCCAGGAGGUUAAGACCAGCCUGGGCAACAUAGAAAAAAGAUAAAAUAUUAAAGAAAAAAAUUCAGAUCUUACAGUUAAAGAAGUUCAGUGAAUGAGAUAAAAAAUACAGUCAAGAGCUUUAACAACAGACUAACGUAAGAAAAAGGACUCUCAGGCAGCAUUAAUAAGAAAAUUUAUAGCACUAAACGCCCACACCACAAAGUUAGAAAGAUCUCAAAUUAUCAACCUAACAUCACAACUAAAAGAACUAGAGAAGCAAGAGUACACCAACCCAAAGCUAGCAGAAGAUAAUAAAUAAUCAAAAUCAGAACUAAACUGGAGACCGAGACAUGAAAAAACAUUAAAAAGAUCCACAAAUCCAGGAGUUGUAUUUUUAAAAAUUAACAAGGUAGGCCACUAGCUACACUAAUAAGAAAAUAUCCAAAUAACACAAUUAGAAAUGACUAAGAAGAUAUUACCACUGACCCUACAGAAAUACAAAUAACCAUUAGAGACUACUAUGAACACGUAUCUGUACACAAACUGGAAAAUUUAGAAGAGAUGGAUACAUUCCUGGACAUAUACACCUUCCCAAGACUGAACUAGGAAGAAACUGAUUUCCUGAACAGACCAAUAAUGAGCUCCAAAAUAGAAUCAGUAACAAAUAGCUUACCAACCAAAAAAAAAGAAAAAAAAAAAAAAUUCCCAGCACCAGAUAGAUUCACAGCCCAAUUCUACCAGAUGUACAAAGAAGAGCUGGUACCAUUCCUACUGGAACUAUUCCCAAAAAUUGAGGAGGAGGGACUCCUCCCUAAUUAAUUCCAUGAGCCAGCAUUAUCCUGAUACCAAAAUCUAGCAGAGACAUAACAACAACAACAAAAAAAGACAACUUCAGAUCAAUAUCCUUGAUGAACAUUGAUGGAAAAAUCUUCAACAAAAUACUUGGAAACUGAAUCCAGCAACAUAUCAAAAAGCUAAUCCACCACAAUUAAGUGGGCAUUAUCACAAUGCGAGAUUGGUUCAGUAGACCCAAAUCAAUAAAUGUGAUUCAUAAACAGAACUAAAAGCAAAAACUAUAUGAUUACGUCAAUAGAUGCAAAAAAGCCUUUCAAUAAAAUUCAACAUCACUUCAUGUUAAAAAUUCCCCAUAAACUAGGUGUUGAAGGAACAUAACUCAGAAUAAUAAGUGCCAACUAUAACAAACUCACAGCCAACAUCAUACUGAAUGGGCAAAACUGAAUGGGCAAAAGCUACAAGCAUUCCCCUUGAAAAGCACAAGAUAAGGAAGCCCUUUCUCACCACUCCUAUUCAAUAUAGUGUUGAAAGUCCUGAUCACAGCAGUCAGGCAACAAAAAUAAUAAAAGGCAUCCAAAUAGGAAGAAAGGAAGUCAAACUAUCCUUGUUUGCAGACAACAUGAUUCUAUAUCUAGAAAACCCCAUAGCCUCAGCCCAAAAGGUCCUUCAGCUGAUAAACAAUUUCAGCAAAGUUUCAGGAGACAAAAUCAAUGUACAAAAAUCACUAACAUUCCUAUAUACAAUAGCCAAGCCAAGAGCCAAAUCAGGAGCACAAUCCCAUUCAUAAUUGCCACAAAAAGAAUAAAAUACCUAGGACUACAGCUAACUAAGGAAGUAAAGGAUCUCUACAAUGAGAAUCACAAACACUGCUCAAAGAAAUCAGAGAUGAUGCAAACAAAUGGAAAAACUUCCCAUGCUCAUGGCUAGGAAGAAUCAACAUCAUUAAAGUGGUCAUACUACCGAAAGCAGUUUAUAGAUUCAAUGCUAUUCCUAUCAAACUAUCAAUUACAUUUUUCACAGAACUAGAGAAAACUUUUAAAAUUCAUAUAGAACCAAAGAGCCUGAAUAGUCAAGGCAAUCCUAGGCAAAAAGAACAAAGGUGGAGGCAUCACAUUACCUAACUUCAAACUACAAGGCUACUGUGACCAAAACAGCAUGGUACUGAUACAAAAGCAGACACACAGACCAAUGGGACAGAAUAGAAAGCCCAGAAAUAAGGCAGCAAACCUACAGCCAUCUGAUCUUCAACAAAGUUGACAAAAACAAGCAAUGGGGAAAGGGCUCCCUAUUCAAUAAAUGGUGCUGGGAUAACUGGUUGGCCAUAUGCAGAAGAUCGUAACUGGACCCCACCCCUUUCUUUUACCAUGUACAAAAAUUAACUUAAGAUGGUUUAAAGAGUUGAAACCCAAAAUUAUAAAAAUUCUGUAGAUAACUUAGGCAAUGCCAUUCUGGACAUAGGAUCUGGCAAAGAUUUCAUGAUGAAGACAACAAAAGCAAUCGUAACAAAAGCAAAUAUUGACAAAUCAGAUUUAAGAGCUUCUCCACAGCAAAAGAAACAAUCAACAGGGCAGACAAUCUACAGAAUGAGAGAAUAGUUUUGCAAACUGCAUCUGACAAGGGACUAAUAUCUAGCAUCUAUAAAGAAUUUAAACACAGUUACAGG
rnacentral:lncRNA from 1 species